CGGCGUGCCUAAUACAUGCAAGUCGAGCGAGCGGAACUAACAGAUUUACUUCGGUAAUGACGUUAGGAAAGCGAGCGGCGGAUGGGUGAGUAACACGUGAGGAACCUGCCCCAUAGUCUGGGAUACCACUUGGAAACAGGUGCUAAUACCGGAUAAGAAAGCAGAUCGCAUGAUCAGCUUUUAAAAGGCGGCGUAAGCUGUCGCUAUGGGAUGGCCCCGCGGUGCAUUAGCUAGUUGGUAAGGUAAAGGCUUACCAAGGCGAUGAUGCAUAGCCGAGUUGAGAGACUGAUCGGCCACAUUGGGACUGAGACACGGCCCAAACUCCUACGGGAGGCAGCAGUAGGGAAUCUUCCACAAUGGACGCAAGUCUGAUGGAGCAACGCCGCGUGAGUGAAGAAGGUUUUCGGAUCGUAAAGCUCUGUUGUUGGUGAAGAAGGAUAGAGGUAGUAACUGGCCUUUAUUUGACGGUAAUCAACCAGAAAGUCACGGCUAACUACGUGCCAGCAGCCGCGGUAAUACGUAGGUGGCGAGCGUUGUCCGCAUUUAUUGGGCGUAAAGCGAGCGCAGGCGGAAGAAUAAGUCUGAUGUGAAAGCCCUCGGCUUAACCGAGGAACUGCAUCGGAAACUGUUUUUCUUGAGUGCAGAAGAGGAGAGUGGAACUCCAUGUGUAGCGGUGGAAUGCGUAGAUAUAUGGAAGAACACCAGUGGCGAAGGCGGCUCUCUGGUCUGCAACUGACGCUGAGGCUCGAAAGCAUGGGUAGCGAACAGGAUUAGAUACCCUGGUAGUCCAUGCCGUAAACGAUGAGUGCUAAGUGUUGGGAGGUUUCCGCCUCUCAGUGCUGCAGCUAACGCAUUAAGCACUCCGCCUGGGGAGUACGACCGCAAGGUUGAAACUCAAAGGAAUUGACGAGGGCCCGCACAAGCGGUGGAGCAUGUGGUUUAAUUCGAAGCAACGCGAAGAACCUUACCAGGUCUUGACAUCUAGUGUCAUUUGUAGAGAUACAAAGUUCCCUUCGGGGACGCUAAGACAGGUGGUGCAUGGCUGUCGUCAGCUCGUGUCGUGAGAUGUUGGGUUAAGUCCCGCAACGAGCGCAACCCUUGUUAUUAGUUGCCAGCAUUAAGUUGGGCACUCUAAUGAGACUGCCGGUGACAAACCGGAGGAAGGUGGGGAUGACGUCAAGUCAUCAUGCCCCUUAUGACCUGGGCUACACACGUGCUACAAUGGGCAGUACAACGAGAAGCGAGCCUGCGAAGGCAAGCGAAUCUCUGAAAGCUGUUCUCAGUUCGGACUGCAGUCUGCAACUCGACUGCACGAAGCUGGAAUCGCUAGUAAUCGCGGAUCAGCACGCCGCGGUGAAUACGUUCCCGGGCCUUGUACACACCGCCCGUCACACCAUGGGAGUCUGCAAUGCCCAAAGCCGGUGGCCUAACCUUCGGGAAGGAGCCGUCUAAGGCAGGGCAGAUGACUG
rnacentral:rRNA from 1 species